rnacentral:rRNA from 1 species
AAGCGUACACGGUGGAUGCCUUGGCAGUCAGAGGCGAUGAAGGACGUGCUAACCUGCGAAAAGCUGUGAGAAGUCGGUAAGAGACGUUAGACUCACAGAUGUCCGAAUGGGGAAACCCACCAGAUUUAUCUGGUAUCGUAUGAUGAAUACAU